CCGCCUGUGACGUCGCGAGAAGUCCACUGAACCUUAUCAUUUAGAGGAAGGAGAAGUCGUAACAAGGUUUCCGUAGGUGAACCUGCGGAAGGAUCAUUGUCGUUGCCUUUGGAUAACACGACCCGCGCACACGUUACGGAAAGCCGUCGGGGAGGACUCGCCUCCUCGGCCCCCAUCGGCCUUGGCCGGCCGCGCCCUCUGGGCGGUGCUGGUCAUGUGUCGGAAUACGGCGCAGGAUGACGCCAAGGAACACAUAUUUGCUGAGGCAGACGGCGAUCCCAYGCUCGGGUGUCGCGUCGGCUGUCGAGGCUCGGAAAAGGAAAAUAUGACUCUCGGCAACGGAUAUCUCGGCUCUCGCAUCGAUGAAGAACGUAGCGAAAUGCGAUACGUGGUGUGAAUUGCAGAAUCCCGUGAACCAUCGAGUCUUUGAACGCAAGUUGCGCCCGAGGGACCCUCCCGAGGGCACGCCUGCCUCAUGGGCGUUAGAAGCCCAUCCACGCUCGGAUGCCUUGCCUCGUGCAUUGCUUGAUGCGGACGCUGGCCCUCCGAGUCGCGAGAUGCGGUGGGCUGAAGUGUACGGCCGUCGGAUGGGGCUGGGAGCGGCGAGUGGUGGGCUGCUGCGCACGUCGCCCCCGACCCCCAUGUCGGCGUAUGGUUUGUUGGUUUGAACCCCUAACGAGGAGUUUGCUGUCGCGGCAUUACGUCGUGUGGCAUCUUCGGACCGAUACCCCAGGUCAGGCGGGGCCACCCGCUGAGUUUA
rnacentral:rRNA from 1 species